rnacentral:rRNA from 1 species
CUAAUACCGGAUGGGCCGAAAGGUGAAAGAUUUAUUGCCUAGAGAUGAGCUCGCGUCUGAUUAGCUAGUAGGUGUGGUAAGAGCGCACCUAGGCGACGAUCAGUAGCUGGUCUGAGAGGACGAUCAGCCACACUGGGACUGAGACACGGCCCAGACUCCUACGGGAGGCAGCAGUGGGGAAUUUUCCGCAAUGGGCGAAAGCCUGACGGAGCAAUACCGCGUGAGGGAGGAAGGCUCUUGGGUUGUAAACCUCUUUUCUCAAGGAAGAAUACAAUGACGGUACUUGAGGAAUAAGCAUCGGCUAACUCCGUGCCAGCAGCCGCGGUAAUACGGAGGAUGCAAGCGUUAUCCGGAAUGAUUGGGCGUAAAGCGUCCGCAGGUGGCAAUGUAAGUCUGCUGUUAAAGAGUGAGGCUCAACCUCAUAAAAGCAGUGGAAACUACAUAGCUAGAGUACGUUCGGGGCAGAGGGAAUUCCUGGUGUAGCGGUGAAAUGCGUAGAGAUCAGAAGAACACCGGUGGCGAAAGCGCUCUGCUAGGCCUGUACUGACACUGAGGACGAAAGCUAGGGGAGCGAAUGGGCAUUAGAUACCCAGUAGGUCCNACGUC